AACUAAUAUUUAAAAGAAAUAAAUUAUAUCUAGAUUAAAACCCACACAGCUAUAUGAAUAAACCAUUAAUUAUUUACAACUAUUUAAAAACUAAAAUCAACCUUAAUUAUUAAUGCUUAUUCGAAAGUUUAUUAAAUCUAAACGCUAAACCAUCUUGCUUGAACUCAAAUCAUGCCUAUUAAAUUAAUAUUAUCCCUUGCUACAUCUUGAUCCUACAAAAUUAAUAACCAACUAUAUUUUCCUAAUACUUGCGGAUCUUUGUUGCUAACAAGAUUCAAAAAUCACUAAUUUCAAAUUACUUCUAUUCCAAUAUUCGCAAGUUCAGAGCUAGAUCUUACCAACCAAUUAAGUUAAGUCGAUUCUCCAUAUUAGCUAUUUCCAAUUUGAAUUGAAGGUGAUUCUGAAUUACCUUAUAUAUGUAAAAGACGACUAAGGAUGUAAAAGACUACUAAGGAUGAAAUCUGGUUAUCGAUCUACUAACUACAUGUUCAUUCCUACAAAUCACAUAACUAUACUAAAUAGAUAACUAAACAACUACAAAUUGCAGUUUUAAAAUAAAUAAAAUUUCAGUUAAGUAUAAACUACCUAAUGCAUUUCUGUUGAAUUAUAAACCAAAAAUUACAUAACUAAUUAUCAUUUUUAUCUAUUAAACUAGAGGUAAAAUAUUUCAUAAUAAAAAGUCUUCACAUUUCAACUCAUACUCAACUGCACAGUUACAUCAAUAUUUAACUCAAGUGAAUACCUGGAUUAGAGAAAUAGGACAAGAGAAGAAAAGGAUCAGCAGUAGCAAAGCAACAAUAGCAAAUAGCAACAGCAGUAGCAAUAUGAACACCCAGGGACAUAUUUUAAAACUAAUAGAGAUGAUUCCACAUCCAAUAAACAGAUUCAAAAUAAUCCAACAGCAACACCAAUAUCAGAAACCCAAGGAGGAACCCAAGAAUUCAAUCCGAAAAUCAACAGUACCAAAUGCAAAUCACAGAAGAAGUCAAAGUGUUCUGAUUUUUAGCAGUAAAUAAAGACUUCACUUUCAGUUUUUAAUUAUCAAAGACGGAAUUUUAUGUUCUGAAAUUUUUAUUUGCCUAUAGUAUUGAAAUAUCUAUUCUCUCUAAUUCCACUCCCCUCUUAUAAUUUCUAAUUUAUAAUCAAAGCAAGUCUUUUUCUCCCCUCCCCUUUAAUUAUUAUCCCUACUUUUAUUAUUACCCCACUCAUUUCUUUUACUUUUCAGCUUUUAUUAUUAAAGCAAAAAGUAGUCAAACAUGGACUCCACAGCCCCCCUUUUACUUUAAUAAUUAUGUCUUUCCCCCACAAUGUAUUAAACAAUUCUUUAUUUUUUUCCAAAAAUAUCCCUCUCAAACUAUUAAAAUUACCUUUAUACCCUCAUUUCUUUUAAUCUGCACCAUGAACGUAUCAACUAUAACCAAUUCAAGCCUAACAAUUGACUAAUUAAACACAUGAAACUAAUUUUAGUCAACAAAAUUAAGAUUAACAUGGUCAGAUUCACACCAGAAACUAACUUAACAGAACAAACAAUAGAUUCAAAUCACUUAAACUCAAUCAUCAAUUGUAACUUCAAAUUAAUUCUAACAACAUUAAAAUCAUGAUAAAAGGGUUCAAGUGAUUAAACUAAAAUAUUUCUAUAUUAAAACUUAACAAGAACAAAUGAAUAAAACAAAUUGAAGAAAUAAUCACGAAAUGAUAAGCAACGAACAAGAAAAGAAUCAAACAUAUAACAAUUUCAAAUCCGAGAAUAUCAAACAAAAUACGGACAUAAAUUAAACUUAAACCAACUAACCAGAUCGGAACAACAACAAACUCGAACGGAAAUAAAUAUGUCUGGAAACUUUGAAACCAAAUAACUCGAAUUUGCCCGAAACUUUUUUUGUGUGUUUUUCCGUUUGAUUUUAGGUGAUGAAGCUAGAUGACGAACAUGGUGUUCACGUAUUUGAAUGGGGAGAAGCUGAAGCAGAAAC
rnacentral:lncRNA from 1 species